UAUAAUUUAGUCGCCAAGUAGUA
rnacentral:siRNA from 1 species